rnacentral:rRNA from 1 species
GUGGGGAAUAUUGGACAAUGGGCGAAAGCCUGAUCCAGCCAUGCCGCGUGUGUGAAGAAGGUCUUCGGAUUGUAAAGCACUUUAAGUUGGGAGGAAGGGCAGUAAGUUAAUACCUUGCUGUUUUGACGUUACCGACAGAAUAAGCACCGGCUAACUUCGUGCCAGCAGCCGCGGUAAUACGAAGGGUGCAAGCGUUAAUCGGAAUUACUGGGCGUAAAGCGUGCGCAGGCGGUUUUGUAAGACAGUGGUGAAAUCCCCGGGCUCAACCUGGGAACUGCCUCCAAAACUGCAUGACUAGAGUACGGUAGAGGGUAGUGGAAUUUCCUGUGUAGCGGUGAAAUGCGUAGAUAUAGGAAGGAACACCAGUGGCGAAGGCGACUACCUGGACUGAUACUGACACUGAGGUGCGAAAGCGUGGGGAGCAAACAGGAUUAGAAACCCUAGUAGUCC